rnacentral:rRNA from 1 species
GGCGAGUGAAGCGGCAACAGCUCAAAUUUGAAAUCUGGCUCUUUCAGAGUCCGAGUUGUAAUUUGUAGAGGGUGCUUUGGGGUUGACUGUGGUCUAAGUUCCUUGGAACAGGACGUCGCAGAGGGUGAGAAUCCCGUAUGUGGCCGCCAGUCUUCACCGUGUAAAGCCCCUUCAACGAGUCGAGUUGUUUGGGAAUGCAGCUCUAAAUGGGAGGUAAAUUUCUUCUAAAGCUAAAUAUUUGCCAGAGACCGAUAGCGCACAAGUAGAGUGAUCGAAAGAUGAAAAGCACUUUGGAAAGAGAGUCAAAAAGCACGUGAAAUUGUUGAAAGGGAAGCGCUUGCAGUUAGACAUGCCUUUAGUUGCUCAGCCAGGCUUCUGCCUGGUGCACUCUUCUAUUGGCAGGCCAGCAUCAGUUUGGGCGGUUGGAUAAAGGUCUAUUAAAUGUGACUCCCUUCGGGGAGAGCUUAUAGGGUAGACGACAUGCAACCAGUCUGAACUGAGGUCCGCGCAUCUGCUAGGAUGCUGGCGUAAUAGCUGUAAGCGGCCCGUCUUGAAACACGGACCAAGGAGUCUAACAUCUAUGCGAGUGUUUGGGUGUCAAGCCCGAGCGCGUAAUGAAAGUAAACGGAGGUGGGAACCCUUUGGGUGCACCAUCGACCGAUCCUGAUGUCUUCGGAUGGAUUUGAGUAAGAGCAUAGCUGUUGGGACCCGAAAGAUGGUGAACUAUGCCUGAAUAGGGUGAAGCCAGAGGAAACUCUGGUGGAGGCUCGCAGCGGUUCUGACGUGCAAAUCGAUCGUCAAAUUUGGGCAUAGGGGCGAAA